rnacentral:rRNA from 1 species
GACGAACGCUGGCGGCGUGCUUAACACAUGCAAGUCGAACGAAGAGCGAUGGAAGCUUGCUUCUGUCAAUCUUAGUGGCGAACGGGUGAGUCACGCGUAAUCAACCUGCCCUUCAGAGGGGGACAACAGUUGGAAACGACUGCUAAUACCGCAUACGAUCCAAUCUCGGCAUCGGGACUGGAUGAAAGGUGGCCUCUAUUUAUAAGCUAUCACUGAAGGAGGGGAUUGCGUCUGAUUAGCUAGUUGGAGGGGUAACGGCGCACCAAGGCGAUGAUCAGUAGCCGGUCUGAGAGGAUGAACGGCCACAUUGGGACGGAGACACGGCCCAGACUCCUACGGGAGGCAGCAGUGGGGAAUCUUCCGCAAUGGACGAAAGUCUGACGGAGCAACGCCGCGGGAGGGAUGACGGCCGUCGGGUUGUAAAGCUCUGUUAAUCGGGACGAAUGGUUCUUGUGCGAAUAGUGCGAGGAUUUGACGGUACCGGAAUAGAAAGCCACGGCUAACUACGUG